GGGGGUUUAGCUCAGUGGUAUAGCAUGUGCUCUUAGCAUGUACAAGGUCCUGGGUUCAAUCCCUAGCACCACCA
rnacentral:tRNA from 1 species